UCUGCUGCCUAUUUUUUUCCUCUUUUUUGGUUUUUUCGACCUUAUAUAUGUGUUUGUGGUCACUAAUUUGUGGCUCUCUGCCUCAUGACUAUGGGUUUUCUUGUAGAUCUGAGUAUGUUUCCCUCAUAAUUUUAUGUGGUUUAUUGAGAUUUGAGUGUUUUCUUCCAAAUCUUAGCCUUUUAUGGUUUUUCUUGUAGAUUUGAGUGUUUUUCCCUCAAGCAUUUUUGUGGUUUAUUGAGAUCUGAGUGUUUUCUCUCAUAUCUUAGCCUUUAUCUUCUCUUUCUUUCCUCUUUGUUCUCCCUAUUUUCUUUUACCUUUCUAUUAUUCUUACACUCACUUUCUUUCUUUCUCGUUUCUUAGGUUUUUCCAUUUUUCUCUACCCUCCCUCCCUCUCCUCGCUCUUAAUUUUUUUUUUGUUAUCUUUGUUCUCUCUUGUUAUUUUCUCUCCUUUUUGCCCUCCCCUUCUUUCUUAUUUC
rnacentral:lncRNA from 1 species